UGGAGAAGUAAGGGGAGAGAGAUGGAUGAAGAAGGAAAGAGGGGGAUGAAGCAUGAAAAACAAUAUGGGUGCAGAGACAGAAAACGGUCAUGAGUUAUCAAGUCACUGGCUUUUGAUGAAAAUUAGGACAAGACCUAAAAUCAUAACCAUGCAAACAUUUUUCAGACAGCUCCAUCGAUGGUGACAAAUAACUUGGCAUAUUUUAAGUGAUAACCACAGUCAGGAGCAUCAGAAGUUUACAAACACAUAUUACACACAUUAGACUGUUGACCACACAAUAAGUUAAUUAUUAGACACCUACAUGGUGAAAAGAAACUAAGCACAAAAGUCCAUUUAUAUUCAGCAAAUGGAGCCGAGUCAGGUGUCAUCUGAUGACCAUUAUCUGGUUCUUAAGUGGUCAUAUACAGGGAGGAUAUAUCAAAGCAGACCUUUGAUGUCAAUGAUCUUCUUCCAGCAAAUGCUGUGAAUGGUUUUGGGUCUGGUGCUCAGACAGCCGCUGUUAUCUGUCUCUGGGAUUUGUUAAAUCUCUGCUCCUGGGUAAACACAGUUUAUCCCACAGUUGGUCCAGUCUUGUGGGUAUGUCAGCAGAGGUCUUAAAAGUCUUAAAUGCCUUGUUGUAAAUGCAUUCAAUGCCAAAGACCUGCCUUUAAUUGAAACAGUGUACAACCACUUGUUAUCAACUGACCAAAGGACCAGAUUAAGGUCAUGCGACAAGACCUGAGCCAGUUCAUUUCACUUAAGAUGCUAGUUGUGGUUAAAAGCUCAGAAAGAAAGUGGAUCUUGUUGUUGUUCGAUUAUUUCCACCAUAUACUAUUCUCAAGGGACAGGAAUAAACAUCCAUGCCCAAAUCCUGACAAAGUUAGAUUUGAUCAGUGGUUGGUGUUAGUUAGGAACGUUGACAGGGAACAUUAGAAGCAAACUUCUGAUGUUAUUCUGCUUUACACACACCCACAGUCUUUCCGAAUGCACUACCAUGCAUUGCCUCACCCAUGUGCACCCCAGAGGGUGCACUCAAUGGGUCUGCUCUACUCCCGCCAUGACAACCAUAUGAUACAACUCCACUUCAUCUUCCUCAUCACUUGACCUGCCAAGGCCAAUCAGACAGCAGGGACUUAGAGAGGUUACAUGGGAUGGUGGAUGCAGUGCAGUGACCUCAGCUAAGUGCUCCCUCACCAGGCAUACGGUCCAUUGCGGCGGCCUGCAAGGCCUGGAGCUCCUUAAGGUCCAC